rnacentral:lncRNA from 1 species
UUCAUAUUUAAUUCGUACACAUUGUAAAAUAUUGUAUUUUUAUUUCUUUCAGUUUACCAAUCUACUGACUACUUGUAAACCUUUCUGGUGGAAUAUAUUAAUUACAAUUUAUCAAAACAAGUUGUGUUCGUUAUAUAUUCAUCGAGAUUGCGAUUGCAGUCACCUGGUUAAACUAGUUGAGUCCGGCUCAGCAUAGUAAAUUGACAACAACUUGUCUACACAUCUCCUGAACAGGAAAUACAACGGAGCAUCGUUCGUAGCUGUUACCUUGACACUACGCAACACAGCUUGUGCGUCCUAGGCAGCAAACCAACAACGUUGAACAAACAUUGCCUACAAAUAGUUGAUUUACAUCAUGGAU